AGUAACGCCGCGUGGAGGAUGAAGGCCUUCGGGUCGUAAACUCCUGUCAGCGGGAACGACGGCACAUGAGGGACAAGCCUCAGGUGUUAGACGGUACCCGACAAAGGAAGCCCCGGCUAAUUCCGUGCCAGCAGCCGCGGUAAUACGGAAGGGGCUAGCGUUGUUCGGAAUCAUUGGGCGUAAAGGAGUGAGUAGGCGGUCUGGUAUGUCUGCUGUGAAAGCCCACGGCUUCCCCGUGGAAGGGCAGCGGAAACGGCCGGACUUGAGGCUGGGAGGGGUGGGUGGAAUUCCCUGUGUAGCGGUGAAAUGCGUAGAGACGGGGGAGAACACUGGUAGCGAAGGCGGCCCACUGGCCCAGUCCUGACGCUCAGUCCUGACAGCGUGGGGAGCAAACAGGAUUAGAUACCCUGGUAGUCCACGCCGUAAACGAUGGGCACUAGGUGCUGGUGGUUAACUCCAGCAGUGCCGGCGCUAACGCAGUAAGUGCCCCGCCUGGGGAGUACGGUCGCAAGGCUG
rnacentral:rRNA from 1 species